rnacentral:rRNA from 1 species
UACGAAGGGGGCUAGCGUUGUUCGGAAUUACUGGGCGUAAAGGGCGCGCAGGCGGUCCUUGAAGUCAGGCGUGAAAUCCCCAGGCUCAACCUGGGAACUGCGUCUGAUACUGGAUGGCUUGAAUCCGGGAGAGGGAUGCAGAAUUCCAGGUGUAGCGGUGAAAUGCGUAGAUAUCUGGAGGAAUACCGGUGGCGAAGGCGGCAUCCUGGACCGGCAUUGACGCUGAGGAGCGAAAGCCAGGGGAGCAAACGGG